GUCACCGUGGUGGAAUUUUGGCAGACACGUAGCUCUGAGGCGGCUAUCCGUUUAAUUAUGGGUCCCGGUUCAAGCCCGGGCGGUGACA
rnacentral:tRNA from 1 species